rnacentral:tRNA from 1 species
GCCGAUGUAGCUCAGAGGCAGAGCAGCUCACUCGUAAUGAGCAGGUCAGGGGUUCGAGUCCCCUCAUCGGCU